rnacentral:rRNA from 1 species
UACGUAGGGGGCGAGCGUUUGUCCGGAUUUAUUGGGCGUAAAGAGCGUGUAGGCGGUUCGGUAAGUCUGUCGUGAAAUCCCUGAGGCUCAACCUCGGGCGUGCGAUGGAUACUGCCGGGCUAGAGGAUGGUAGAGGCGAGUGGAAUUCCCGGUGUAGCGGUGAAAUGCGCAGAUAUCGGGAGGAACACCGAUGGCGAAGGC